rnacentral:rRNA from 1 species
UACGUAGGGACCAAGCGUUGUUCGGAUUUACUGGGCGUAAAGGGCGCGUAGGCGGCGCGGUAAGUCACUUGUGAAAUCUCUGAGCUUAACUCAGAACGGCCAAGUGAUACUGCAGUGCUAGAGUGUGGAAGGGGCAAUCGGAAUUCUUGGUGUAGUGGUGAAAUGCGUAGAUAUCAAGAGGAACACCUGAGGUGAAGACGGGUUGCUGGGCCAACACUGACGCUGAUGCGCGAAAGCCAGGGGAGCAAACGGG